CGACCCGCUCGACAGGUUUGCCAUGGUUGGCACGAACGCUAGACGACCCUUAAGACUCACAUCAACGUCCUUCCUGCUCGAUCUCCACCUCUUCCUUCUCCGCCAACCGAACCUUUCCGCCAUCCCACAACCUUGCCGCUACGCCCGCACUGACAAAGCCUCCGUCGCCCAUAGAGCCGUCCGUGUAGACGAGGAGGGAGCCCAGUUGCAGGUCUCGGACGGUUUGCUCGUGCUUGGUCGUACCAUGCCGCCGCCGACCACAUCAAUCUCGGCCAAACGCACGCGACGACGAGCUGGCGCGUCCACUUCGGCGCCAACCCGGCUUUCGAACGGGCAAGUAGGGAUAUGGCGGUCGUCGAUGUGGUGGCGCGGGCGGCGCAGGCGGUGAUGUGAUCGCGGAAGGAUGUUGACAUCGUCGAUCCAGCCAAAGCCGCAUGUCGUCGCUGUUUCGCAGGCGUCGAGUAGGGGGGCGUUGUACGUGAGGAAGAGGAUGGGCGAUAGCGAGUGCAGGAGCACUCGCUCAAAAGGGAGCGGAUCCAGUCGCAGGCGGGCUCGGGCAAUCCUCGAAUCUUCAGACGACCGCGUCUUCCGCCGAGCGACGACGUCGUCCGCCGAAGUGCGACCUCGGUAGCAGGCCAAACGACUCGGCUAGAUGCGACAGGCGUGCGGCGACAAUCCGUUCGAGCGCUUUGGCGAUGCAUCACUCGAAGGCGAUCAAGGGGUCCGGCCAUGCUAGCAUUGGCGUUGUCGACCCAUCCCGUGCGUUCUCGUUGAGUUCUGCGGGGUUGACGGGGUCCUCGCCGAAGCGGGCUUCAACUCCGUAUGUACUCGAGCGCGUAGUCUCGCGGG
rnacentral:misc_RNA from 1 species